GACGAACGCUGGCGGCGUGCUUAACACAUGCCAGUCGAACGGUAAGGCCCUUCGGGGUACACGAGUGGCGAACGGGUGAGUAACACGUGGGUAAUCUGCCCUGCACAUCGGGAUAAGCCUGGGAAACUGGGUCUAAUACCGAAUAGGACCACAGGACACAUGUCCUGUGGUGGAAAGCUUUUGCGGUGUGGGAUGGGCCCGCGGCCUAUCAGCUUGUUGGUGGGGUGAUGGCCUACCAAGGCGACGACGGGUAGCCGGCCUGAGAGGGUGUCCGGCCACACUGGGACUGAGAUACGGCCCAGACUCCUACGGGAGGCAGCAGUGGGGAAUAUUGCACAAUGGGCGAAAGCCUGAUGCAGCGACGCCGCGUGGGGGAUGACGGCCUUCGGGUUGUAAACCUCUUUCACCAUCGACGAGGGUCCGGGUUUUCUCGGGCUGACGGUAGGUGGAGAAGAAGCACCGGCCAACUACGUG
rnacentral:rRNA from 1 species